GAAGGAAUUAUGUAUAUCAAAAGCUGCCUUAAAACCCAGAGAUUUCAGAUAAAUUCUUGCUCUACUGCAGAAGGGAGAAUGACCCUAUUUAACUCCUUUGGAAAGAAGGAGAGGCAGUGAUCUCUGUUAAAGAAUGAGGACAGAGCCAGCGUUAACCUCUAUGUCCCAGUGCAUCUUUCUGAUUUGGUGAUUGAGUGGAGCAGAGAGAGAGAGAAAUGGAUAGAACUGAGCAAGACCCAGUAUCAUUGUGAGACAUCAUUGGGAGUAAAAUAAAGACACUUGAAUUUGGACAGACAAGCAGCCCAGCCACCUUUCAGUGUGUCUGUGUCAGUAUCGGAAUGAAAUGAACAUGACCCCCUCCAGCAGGGAAGGAACACACAGUAAAGCCUUCACCUCAAAGAUCAGAUUCAGCAGACGGUAGAACUUGCUUUGAACCACCUUCUUCUUCUCCACAAUGCGGACAUCAGGAUUUGGUAAAAAGGGGUACUGUCCAUUUCCCCCAAAAAGACUUCGAAUAUUUGUGGUCCAGCAACUUAUAAAAGUAAGAACCCCUCCCCCCAUCUGAUCAUCCAUUCCUUUAUUACCUGGGGUCCUAAAGAUUUACUAAAACCGGCCAUAAAUUUAGGAAGAGCCCUACUCCACGGAACAAUUUUUUUUCUAGGAGCGAUCCCAAGGCUUCCAACAGUUCUGGAAAUGAAAAUAAGCUCUCUCCAAUAGAUUACAUACAUUUACCUAUUCCCAGUUCCAGGUAAGAGUCCAGGUUACUUACCAGGUGUGGCUGAGUUGGAGGACACAGGUGAAAAGAAAGAUGCACACAGAAGGCUUCGUAAGCAACAUAAUCCUCUGGAGUGAGAAGGAUAGAAAAUUCUAAAAACUUGGGAGACAGAGAGGUCCUUCUCUCUUUUGUCAUUCAGAAAGGGAGCUGCAGAGUCUAUGGAAGACCCAGAGUCAAGUCCUAGGAAACCAAGGCAUGAUGACUCAUGAAUUUCAAUC